GACGAACGCUGGCGGCGUGCUUAACACAUGCAAGUCGAACGGAAAGGCCCUUCUUUUGUGGGUUGCUCGAGUGGCGAACGGGUGAGUAACACGUGAGUAACCUGCCCUUGACUUUGGUAUAACUUCAGGAAACUGGGGCUAAUACCGGAUAGGAGCUCCUGCUGCAUGGUGGGGGUUGGAAAGUUUCGGCGGUUGGGGAUGGACUCGCGGCUUAUCAGCUUGUUGGUGGGGUAGUGGCUUACCAAGGCUUUGACGGGUAGCCGGCCUGAGAGGGUGACCGGCAACAUUGGGACUGAGAUACGGCCCAGAAUCCUACGGGAGGCAGCAGUGGGGAAUAUUGCACAAUGGGCGGAAGCCUGAUGCAGCAAAGCCGCGUGCGGGAUGAAGGCCUUCGGGUUGUAAACCGCUUUCGCCUGUGACGAAGCGUGAGUGACGGUAAUGGGUAAAGAAGCACCGGCUAACUACGUG
rnacentral:rRNA from 1 species